UUUUGAAACUACACAUUCCUUUCCCCUGCACCCCUUGAAAUGUACUGAUAAGAUUCUCAAUAAAAACUGGAGAAGAGCUUUACUUGGGGCCAUUGCCACUAGAGCGCUUGGCCCCCUUGUUCUCUCCUUUCUCUGAUUCAAGAAUCUGGAGUAAUCUGUCAUCCGCUGCCCCUGGGGUUUGCUGGUCAAACCCAGCAGUCACCUAGGGGAAGAGAAAAGAAAAGGUCUAAGGAUUGAGUCCUGGAUCAUGCAAACAUUUGGCAGUCAGGAAGAGGACAACGAGCGAAUGAAAAAGAUGGAGAAGAAACAGCCAGUGGAAGUAGGAUAUUAUGUAAUGGGGUAUUCUGGAAAGCCAGAAAAAAAGGUGAAGCAGUUACAACUCAAAGAUAUUUAAGGAACUCACCCAAGGUUGCAGAGCUAUGAAAAUCAUGCGGUCAAGAUUACAACCUAGGACUGCUUGACUGCAAAACUGAAGCCUCUUCCUAUCUCUUAAUUGGUACCUUUAAAGAAAGGCCAUUUCUUCUUAAAUAUAACCUCAUUUACAAGGGGAAAUAACACCUUUCUCAUCCCUUAGAUUGUGAGAUCUGGUCUUUCACUUCAAGAUCUGGCUAAAUCCAAACACUGGGCCCUCAAAUGGCGGCUGCGUCGUACAGCCAUCCUACAGCAGAGAGAAAGUUAUGAGAAGGGUGGGGCCUGUGCUGGAAAGCAAACCUUUGACCUACGUCCCCAGCAGCUGACUGGAAAUUAAAUGAGUGGUCAGAACUGUGUCCCGCUGCACACCUGAAUGUGGGGAUGGCAUCAUUAAAAAGCAACGGAAAAAUCCAACAAAGUCUACACCAAAGUUAUUUUAGCAAGGAAGAAAGGGCAAAUGAA